GGGCGAUUAACUCAGCGGGAGAGUGCUUCCUUUACACGGAAGAAGUCGGGGGUUCGAAUCCCUCAUCGCCCACCA
rnacentral:tRNA from 1 species